CUGUCGCUUCCGGCAAGGAAGAGGAAAGUCCGGACAGGAAAGGGCAUCCCGCUGCGGAAAUCGCAGAAGGGAGUAAUCUUUUGGAAUCCGUAACAGAAAACAACCGCCUUCAUUGAAGGCAAGGGUGAAAAUGUGGGGCAAGAGCCCACGGCUUGUGCCGGUGACGGCAUGAGGGUACGGACCCGGGACCUGCAAGACCAAAUAUACUGGCAGAUGAGGGCUGCCCGUCCGAUGCCAGGGGGUAGGUUGCGAAGAUAAAUGACAGGAUAAAACAGAAACCGGCUUACGGUCCCACCUU
rnacentral:RNase_P_RNA from 1 species